rnacentral:lncRNA from 1 species
UAAACCUAGUCACCUUGAGAAGGCUACUAUGUUAAACAAAUACAUUAAGCGGCUAAGUAGCAUGUAUAUGUAUAUGCCAUUUUAAUUCAAAGUCAUGCAUUUUGAGUUUUUCAACACAUCCUAUAAUGUUCAAAGCAAACUUAGCUCUUUACCCAUGUAUCCAUAUAAUAGGUUUCACGUUUCUAAUAAAAUUGGUUUUAUGUUAUUUUCAAGUCUUGUUUUGUUUUCAUAACUUUAACCCAGCUUUGUCUAUAUAAACCCACAUUUUCUUUAUUUUUUUUUCCAUGUUCAUUUUUUUAAAACAACAUAUUAUGAUAUCAAUACAUUAUAUCUUAUAAUAAUAGAUUUAAAAAACUGAAAUAUCAAUAUAUUACAAUUUAAGUAAAUAAAAUUAAUCAUAAAAAAUAUGCAUAUUCUCGUACUUUAGUGUUUAAAACAUAGUUUUUAUAAAAAUUGUAUAAAAUAAGUAAUUCGCUCUACCAAUGUUGCUUUGGUGUAAUAAACCUCGUCACCUUGCGAAGGCUACUAUGUUAAACAAAUACAUUAAGCGGCUAAGUAACAUGUAUAUGUAUAUGCCAUUUUAAUUCAAAGUCAUGCAUUUUGAGUUUUUCAACACAUCCUAUAAUGUUCAAAGCAAACUUAGCUCUUUACCCAUGUAUCCAUCUAAUAGGUUUCACGUUUCUAAUAAAAGUUGUUCUACGUUAUUUUU